rfam:Salmo salar isolate Sally breed double haploid chromosome ssa09, whole genome shotgun sequence.
ACCAAGUUCAACUAUAAGUCGCUCUGGAUAAGAGCGUCUGCUAAAUGACUAAAA